rnacentral:misc_RNA from 1 species
GUAGGUGAACCUGCGGAAGGAUCAUUAACACGUAUCCACGUAUCAACCCCUCUGUGAAAACCUAUCUCUUGUAAGGCUUGGUCUUAGUGUGCUGUUCGCUUAAAGUCCUAAUGAUGGAGGCUUUCUUUUCGGAGAUUGCCUAGGGCUUGAACAGUACGUGUUUGACGUCCAGCCGCCACUUUUCCAUCGUUGGUCCUUUACAAACUUUUAACCCCUUUGUACUCUUUUGUACUGAACCAAUUCUUCGAUG